CAGUCGCCGCGGGAAUACGAAGGGUGCAAGCGUUAAUCGGAAUUACUGGGCGUAAAGCGUGCGCAGGCGGUUAUGCAAGACAGAUGUGAAAUCCCCGGGCUCAACCUGGGAACUGCAUUUGUGACUGCAUGGCUAGAGUACGGUAGAGGGGGAUGGAAUUCCGCGUGUAGCAGUGAAAUGCGUAGAUAUGCGGAGGAACACCGAUGGCGAAGGCAAUCCCCUGGACCUGUACUGACGCUCAUGCACGAAAGCGUGGGGAGCAAACAGGAUUAGAUACCCCUGUAGUCCCUGUCUCUUAUAC
rnacentral:rRNA from 1 species